rnacentral:misc_RNA from 1 species
CAAAGGGGUUUUCUACAGUUUGGCAAGCACUGCUGUGCCACACAGGGCGUAUGAACGUUUUGUGUUGCCUACUUUUCGGCUGGGUAGUGUUAAUGUUGAAUCGUACUUUGUGGGCGGGAUGAGAUCCUUUUUGGGGUUAAUUUUGUAGAAAUUCGUUAAAUCGGAAAUAAAUAAUAUAUUUUAAAUUAAAUGAGCUGUGUCUGGUAUGGGAUUUCAGCUUCAGGGUUUUAGUUAAUAAAUACGUUUCUGAAUAAAAAUUUACUGGCCCACAAAAAACCACAAAUAUAAGUUUUACUGGUUAUGCAAUGCUAAUAACAACACCUUCACCAAGAAAAGCAACUUUCUUGCAUUUCAUAAAUCUUGGCGAUAACAAUAGUCGCACUUUUGGGACGCAAUCAUUGCAAACCCGAUAAUCUAAUCGCUAUCAGUUGGUGAAUUAGCCCAAUCUAGCUCUCCGUUUCCGUGAUCGUUGUGGUUCGAAGGUGCUAAUGCGACUGUGUGUAUAAUUUCCCUGCAACCAAGUUAGUCAUCGAGCGGUGUCACAUGAUGAACUAUCUGCCCGUUUUCCCAUCUCCCACUCCCCCGAUCUGGGCGAACACCCCAGCCCAUAACAACCGGCUUUUGUGGCUCUAACUCUCAUUCGUGAUAAGUGCAAUCGGCUGAUCGCACACAUUCAAACAUUCUCUCAUUUGCACAUGUGCGAAACCAAAUUCGCAUUUUUUGGCAAAAAGGGGAAAAAAACUAAAGCGUCCAGUUGUUAUCUGCCGGCAAUUAGCGUAAUAACGAAAGUGAUAAUUGAAGUUUGGAGCGGUAUUAGUUUUUUCCGUUCUCAUCCACACAGCCGGCGUUUGGGGCCGAUAUUUUGCCGAUUUGACGAUUUUGUGCCGGGUGGAGCUCGUUUGUUUGCUUAUCUAUUUGCCGCACGAGUUUUUCGCCAGCUAUUGCCGUUCUGGCCUACGUGACAAGAGAAAUGACGACGCCGGCCCAAAGAAAUGGGGGAGUGGAGAAAGUAAUUUCGUAACUCAAGUGGGGAAAUGGGUGGGAAAUAAGAAAUUGUGGUUACAGUUCUAAAUUACUGCCAUUUGGGAGCAUUAAAGUACUGAAACAUUUGCGUCUGAGCAACACGCCCACCAAUAGGCAAACGCCUUAUGGCAAAAUACAAUAAAUAUCUGGCUCUAUUUUUUUGUAUUCCAUAGGGCAUUAUUAAAGAACUAUAAUUAACUCUUUAGCAAUAGCUAGAAAGUGCAGUAUUUUCAUACUUUUGAAUUUUUAACCAAUUUCAAAAACCAGGGCUGCGCAAGAUCCUUCCAGUGUGACUCUACGAACUACUAAAAGGCUUCAUUUAAUUUUAAUGAUACCAAAAUGCAUAUGAUUGAUUGCAAUACUACAUAUUGAAAAAUCUUUAAUUGCGAUUAUGAAGAAUUUUUUUUUUAAAUACUUAUAUAAAUGUUAUAGAGUAUAAUGAUUUACAGGGCUGUCAAAGUUUUCAAUGCAUUUAGGAGUGGUCACACUGUUUGUCUCUUUACAUUGUCCCUUUUACUCUUGUCAUUUGGCGAAUUAGGACGCGUAGAUCGCAAAUUAACUUUAUUUUUCGUCUAAAAAGUCUUGUUUCCUAUAAAAGCAAUUGUUAUUUAUUGGUUUUCAACGGUGGGCCGUGCCUAUAGUUAAAGCAAACGUUUAGCUUGGUUAUUUAGUUCUAACAAGCCAGCAGCGCCCGCACUCGACAACAAGCCAGCGAAUCCAGCUCCCGCCAAGGAAUCAGC